GGGCCCUUAGCUCAGCUGGCUAGAGCGUCCGGCUCAUAACCGGCAGGUCUGGGGUUCGAGUCCCUGAGGGCCCACCA
rnacentral:tRNA from 1 species